UGAUACAAGUGUCAAAAGUAUAAAAAUUCGAUGCAAGCUUGCUUGCAGGAGAAUUUAUUAUCUUUUGACACGCAAAAAAUAUGAGUAAGUAGCCAUUUUUUGUAAAAAAAAUGAGCGGAUUACGAAUAUUUUUGCAAGGAUUGCGUGAGGUGAAGCCGAAGCAAUCCUGUAUCA
rfam:Catonella morbi ATCC 51271 genomic scaffold Scfld0, whole genome shotgun sequence.